GGAGCUCCCCCUCUGAACCAUCCCAUCCGCAGCCAGCCUCAGCCUCAGAGCUGCUGGUGGCCUUUCCCCUUUGUGAUUCCCUUGCAUUUUUCUGUGGACCUCAGAAGCCAUCCUAGUCACAGGGGAGGCUUAUAGGACAUCUCUGGGGACCUUCUGCUGAACACCCUCAACCAAUGGGGUGUAGUGGUUGAUCUGCCUAGGUCCCCAGGGACCUGAAAUGUCAUGACCCAAGAGAGCAUGGAUCUGGGGCAGAGUGGCCCUUGCCAAACCCCGAGCCACUUCCCAACCUUGCCGGGACGGUGCAACCUCUUGCCCUCCCAGCCACUCCAGGUGCAUCAGGGCUGGAGGAAGGACAGCCCCUCCCCACCACAGGCCCUCUUGACUCCUGGUGGUUGGACCUGUUGUGUGUUUUACUUUCUAA
rnacentral:lncRNA from 1 species